UACAGAGGUCUCAAGCGUUGUUCGGAUUCAUUGGGCGUAAAGGGUGCGUAGGCGGCGAGGCAAGUCUGGUGUGAAAUCCCGGGGCUCAACCCCCGGAACUGCACUGGAUACUGCUUUGCUAGAGUACUGGAGAGGGAACUGGAAUUUACGGUGUAGCAGUGAAAUGCGUAGAUAUCGUAAGGAAGACCAGCGGCGAAGGCGAGUUCCUGGACAGU
rnacentral:rRNA from 1 species